AGUGAACGCUGGCGGUAGGCCUAACACAUGCAAGUCGAACGGCAGCACAGUAAGAGCUUGCUCUUACGGGUGGCGAGUGGCGGACGGGCGAGGAAUACAUCGGAAUCUACUUUCUCGUGGGGGAUAACGUAGGGAAACUUACGCUAAUACCGCAUACGACCUACGGGUGAAAGCAGGGGAUCUUCGGACCUUGCGCGAUUGAAUGAGCCGAUGUCGGAUUAGCUAGUUGGCGGGGUAAAGGCCCACCAAGGCGACGAUCCGUAGCUGGUCUGAGAGGAUGAUCAGCCACACUGGAACUGAGACACGGUCCAGACUCCUACGGGAGGCAGCAGUGGGGAAUAUUGGACAAUGGGCGCAAGCCUGAUCCAGCCAUACCGCGUGGGUGAAGAAGGCCUUCGGGUUGUAAAGCCCUUUUGUUGGGAAAGAAAAGCAGCAGGUUAAUACCCCGCUGUUCUGACGGUACCCAAAGAAUAAGCACCGGCUAACUUCGUG
rnacentral:rRNA from 1 species